rnacentral:rRNA from 1 species
AAGUCGUAACAAGGUUUCCGUAGGUGAACCUGCGGAAGGAUCAUUAAAGAGUAAGGGUGCUCAGCGCCCGACCUCCAACCCUUUGUUGUUAAAACUACCUUGUUGCUUUGGCGGGACCGCUCGGUUCCGAGCCGCUGGGGAUUCGUCCCAGGCGAGUGCCCGCCAGAGUUAAACCAAACUCUUGUUAUUAAACCGGUCGUCUGAGUUAAAAUUUUGAAUAAAUCAAAACUUUCAACAACGGAUCUCUUGGUUCUCGCAUCGAUGAAGAACGCAGCGAAAUGCGAUAAGUAAUGUGAAUUGCAGAAUUCAGUGAAUCAUCGAAUCUUUGAACGCACAUUGCGCCCCUUGGUAUUCCGAGGGGCAUGCCUGUUCGAGCGUCAUUACACCACUCAAGCUAUGCUUGGUAUUGGGCGCCGUCCUUAGUUGGGCGCGCCUUAAAGACCUCGGCGAGGCCUCACCGGCUUUAGGCGUAGUAGAAUUUAUUCGAACGUCUGUCAAAGGAGAGGACUUCUGCCGACUGAAACCUUUAUUUUUCUAGGUUGACCUCGGAUCAGGUAGGGAUACCCGCUGAACUUAA